rnacentral:rRNA from 1 species
UACGUAGGGUGCAAGCGUUAAUCGGAAUUACUGGGCGUAAAGCGUGCGCAGGCAGUUUUGUAAGUCUGUCGUGAAAUCCCCGGGCUCAACCUGGGAAUUGCGAUGGAGACUGCAAGGCUAGAAUCUGGCAGAGGGGGGUAGAAUUCCACGUGUAGCAGUGAAAUGCGUAGAGAUGUGGAGGAACACCGAUGGCGAAGGCAGCCCCCUGGGUCAAGAUUGACGCUCAUGCACGAAAGCGUGGGGAGCAAACAGG